GACGAACGCUGGCGGCGUGCUUAACACAUGCAAGUCGAACGGAGCACCCUUGAUUGAGGUUUCGGCCAAAUGAUAGGAAUGCUUAGUGGCGGACUGGUGAGUAACGCGUGAGGAACCUGCCUUUCAGAGGGGGACAACAGUUGGAAACGACUGCUAAUACCGCAUGACGCAUUUUGAUCGCAUGGUCGAAAUGCCAAAGAUUUAUCGCUGAAAGAUGGCCUCGCGUCUGAUUAGCUAGUUGGUGAGGUAACGGCCCACCAAGGCGACGAUCGGUAGCCGGACUGAGAGGUUGACCGGCCACAUUGGGACUGAGAUACGGCCCAGACUCCUACGGGAGGCAGCAGUGGGGAAUAUUGGGCAAUGGGCGCAAGCCUGACCCAGCAACGCCGCGUGAAGGAAGAAAGGCUUUCGGGUUGUAAACUUCUUUAAGUGGGAAGAGCAGAAGACGGUACCACUUGAAUAAGCCACGGCUAACGUACGUGCCAGCAG
rnacentral:rRNA from 1 species